UAGGGAAUCUUCGGCAAUGGACGAAAGUCUGACCGAGCAACGCCGCGUGAGUGAAGAAGGUUUUCGGAUCGUAAAACUCUGUUGUUAGAGAAGAACAAGGACGUUAGUAACUGAACGUCCCCUGACGGUAUCUAACCAGAAAGCCACGGCUAACUACGUGCCAGCAGCCGCGGUAAUACGUAGGUGGCAAGCGUUGUCCGGAUUUAUUGGGCGUAAAGCGAGCGCAGGCGGUUUCUAAAGUCUGAUGUGAAAGCCCCCGGCUCAACCGGGGAGGGUCAUGGGAAACUGGGAGACUUGAGUGCAGAAGAGGAGAGUGGAAUUCCAUGUGUAGCGGUGAAAUGCGUAGAUAUAUGGAGGAACACCAGUGGCGAAGGCGGCUCUCUGGUCUGUAACUGACGCUGAGGCUCGAAAGCGUGGGGAGCAAACAGG
rnacentral:rRNA from 1 species